GCGAAGGUGGCGGAAUUGGUAGACGCGAUAGCUUCAGGUGUUAGUGUCCUUACGGACGUGGGGGUUCAAGUCCCCCCCCUCGCACCA
rnacentral:tRNA from 1 species